GACGAACGCUGGCGGCGUGCUUAACACAUGCAAGUCGAACGGAAAGGCCCUGCUUUUGUGUCUUUCUUGAUUGGCGAGCGGGUGAGUAACACGUGAGUAACAUCCCCUUGUAUUUGGGAUAACUUCAGGAAACUCGGGCUCUUACCGGAUAGGAUCUCCUGCAGCAUAGUGGUGAUUGGAAAGUUUCGGCGGUUUUGGAUGGACUCGCUGCUUAUCCGCUUCUUGGUGGAGUAGUUACUUACAAAGGCUGUGACGGCUAGCCGGCCUGAGAGAGUUAACGGCCACAAUGGUACUGAGAGACGGAGCAGUCGGGUACGGGAGGCAGCAGGCGGGAACAUGACACAACGGGCGGAAGUGUGAUGUAGCAGCGCCGCGUGCGGGAUGACGUCUUUCGGGGUGUAAACCGCUUUCGCCUGUGACGAAGAGAGAGUGACGGUAAUGGGUAAAGAAGCACCGGCUAACUACGUG
rnacentral:rRNA from 1 species